UACGUGGGGUGCAAGCGUUAAUCGGAAUUACUGGGCGUAAAGCGUGCGCAGGCGGUUCUUUAAGACAGAUGUGAAAUCCCCGGGCUCAACCUGGGAACUGCAUUUGUGACUGUAGAGCUGGAGUGCGGCAGAGGGGGAUGGAAUUCCGCGUGUAGCAGUGAAAUGCGUAGAGAUCGGGAGGAACACCAGAGGCGAAGGCGGCGACCUGGACAAGCACUGACGCUCAACUACGAAAGCGUGGGGAGCAAACAGG
rnacentral:rRNA from 1 species